AAAAAAGACAUUCUUUCACUCCAGACAAGCCCCUGCUGCUUCCUGGACAGAUAGGUUAUACUAGCUAACGAUUCUUAUGCACGACAGUGUGAUUACACUUGUGAUGUUUUCGUCUUUUAAAAAUGUACACAGAAAAUUAAAGGAUUCUUUGGCUAUCAGCUUCCAUGUCUCAGUUUAGAGGUACUUGAGGAUUAUUUUUAUGAAAGAAGUAGCGUCUUCCUAUUUAAACGGAAGAAUAGACAGAAUGCUUCGGAGUUCAUAUUCGCGUUGUUUUUUUUUAGGCACCGCCUAUCAUGCCUAGAGGGCUAGCAAUGCACACUGGGUACUUUCUGUAGGUCUGUUCUCAAAGGCAGCCUGUCCUUCCACUGACUUGGAAAUCUAACUCUAAGAGUGGCUUCCAUAAAUAUGACAACAAAGUUAAUAGUGACAUGUGACUGGAUUCCAUCCAAUGGGAGUGCGGAGGAAAUGAUGGAUGCCACAUCACCACAUCAGAGCUGAAAUGGUUAAGAAAUGAAUGUGAUUUCUAAUAGAGAAGGCGGAAAUGAGUCUAAGACCAUAAGGCAUAUGAGCCACAAAAUGGAAGGAAAAUGGGUUCCUGGAACACUACAAGACUACAAAUAAAUACCUAAGGUGGAUUGUUAUGUUUACAAAUUAAGCGAAGAAUAGCAGAAGCCAAUAGCAUGCCAACCUGCUAUGAAAGUAACGCAUGAGAAAGGGAUGGAGUGAGUCUGGAGAUUAGAAACUAUUGCAAGAAAGAGUGGUGAAUAGAAGAGCAAAAGAGAAAAAGGAAUAUGAAGAGCUCACAUUUUACACAGGACCAGAAUUUCUUCUCUCUAGUAUUUUCACUGGAGCAUCAUUGAGUUCUCCAACUCUGAAACAGCCUGCUUCAAGAACCACCAAAUCCACAGCCUGUAUGAAAGCUGCUUCUUCCAACCUCAGCAGUGUCAAAAGACUGGACACCAGCUGGAUUUGAGGUCCCAUCAGCUUUUGGGGACCUCUCCAGCCCACCGGCAUCAACACUAUUAUUAUUUUCAUUUUACCAUAAUGGAAAUGGAAGUGUAGAAAAAACAAGAAAAUUGUGUACCUAACUCUCCAUGCCUCCAGAAACCACCAUUCUACCCUUUGGCAGGUUUUGUCCAGCUUCUUUUCAACAUCUUAUUUUAUCAGCCAGGUCUUUGUGACCUGUAUCUUGUGAAACCAGUCCUGCUGGAACUCCUAUCUCAUUUGGAGAGUAGCUUGAAAUCUUCAUAUGGGCAUGAAAUAUCUUGUGAUUGGCAAAAUUCAAGGACAAUUUCAGGAAUGUCAGGAAAGCACUAAAAAGACAAAGGAGUUUCUAAUGGCCAGGUGAUAACCUUUGCAUCAGUAAUCAUUGAUAAUAAUUUUAUAGUUGUUUAUGAACUAUCAUUGACUUAUAUUAAUAUGCAAAAUGUUAAAUCUAAUAUGAAGUAUGAAAGUAAUUUUUAUUGUUACAUAAUAAUUGUACAUAUUUAUGGGAUACAUGUGAUAUUUUGAUACAUGCACAUAAUGUGUAAUGAUUAAAUCAGGGUAUUUAGGAUAUCUAUCAUCUAAAAUAUUUACCAUUUUCUUGUUGGGAAACAUUUCAAAUUUCCUCUUCUAGCUAUUUUCAAAUAUACAACACACUGUUGUUCACUAUAGUCACCCUACUGUGCUAUGAGUCAGUAGAACUGAUUCAGUCCCUCUAAGUCUAUGUUUGUACCCAUUAACUAACCUUUCUUCACACAACCCUUCCCCCACUGCUCUUCCCAUCCUCUGGUAACCAUUGUUUUACUCUCUACUUCCACGAGACAAACCAUUUUAGCUUCCACACGUGAGUGAGAGUAGGUGAUAUUUGCCUUUCUACCUGGUCUAUUCACUUGACGUAAUGAUCUCCAGUUUCAUACAUGUUGCAGCACAUGAAAGAAUUUCUGCUUUUAUGGUUGAAUAGUGCUCCUCUGUGUAUGUGUAUCACAUUUUCUUUAUUCCUUCAUCUUUUGAUACACAUUUAAGUUGGGUCCCUGUCUUUGUUAUUGUGAACAAUGCUGAAAUAAACAUGGGGGUACAGAUAUUCAUUUGCAAAAAUGUGAUUAUAAUAUAAAAGGUGGUGAAAAUGAUUUAUAAUAAAAUGUGAAUGUAAUAAAG
rnacentral:lncRNA from 1 species